AAGAGAAGGAGGAAGAGGAGGAGGAGGAGGUCACGUUUUGGGUGGGAGGAAGCGGAGAGUCCUUUCUGGAAACACACACACACACACACACACACACACACACACAGGUAUACCCCAACACCUCACACACACACCAUCAACACCACCACCAACACCACCAUCAACACCAAUCAACACCAGUCUAAUCGGCAGCCUUAGAAUCAGUUGCCAUAUUGAUUCACUAACUCCAGGGCCGGCCGCGAGAGGGCAGGGCAGGCGUACCAACCCUCUCUAUGAUGCAACUUAGGUUUAUUGAUCCCAUACCAUAAGGGCGACAACUCCCUCAUACCACGCCUCAAAAACACGGGAAUCUCAACCAUCCGCACCCGAGCUCACUCUGCCUUGAUCAUAGAGGCGGCGUAAGCGUGUACAGACAGCUGGAACCUCGACCUAACGCCCGUACCAGCUGGGGAAAGGCAACACCCAGGCCGCGUCAAGACUACAUGUGCCUCACCAGUGGUCUGAAAGUCUUGCUUGAAGCCUGACGCUCGAUUCUGCCUCCUCCAGAUCCCCUCCCGACAGGUGUCCCCCGAAACAGGUGUAUGUCCGCAGAUUUCCAAAGGUGCCCCACGAUGGCUCACCUGUGGCUGGGGCGUCCCGUCUACCUGUCCGGGCCCCUCACCUGUGCCAGCGGGGUGACUCAGGUGCUUGCCAACCAGUGCCAAGUGACUCUAUAACGACUGUCACCUCUGUAAACUGUGAUUGUGACUGUGAGACUGUGAACUGAACCUCUGUGACCUUUGUACUUGGAACCUGAAUGAUUUGUAACCAGUGGAAGUGCCGUGUUUUUCUCUGUUCUUUAAGCGACCUUUUAACUUUUUAACCUUUGUUGUAAAAAAAAAUAAUAAUAAAAAAAACACUGGAACCUGUGUACACGGAUUUGGUUUACCUGAGACUGCGAAUCGUUUGAGGUUUUAAAGGUUAACCUGUGCAUUGCUUGGAACCUGAACGACCUGUGACCUCUGGAACGAUCUUGGUUUUCUCUAUUCGUCUUCAACUGACUUUAAAAACACUGCAAUUUCUUUAGGUUGAAAUCAUUUACCUUAAAACUGUGAAUCGUACCUUGAAAAUCACUUAAAUCUCAUCUGUGUCUGUGGAACGCCAAUUUUCUGGGAUUUUCUUUGAUCUUCACUCUGUCGUUCUUGAUUCGGACCUUCAAGACAACUCAAGAACUACUGUAACUUAUGUGGACUGAAAUUAGUUACCUUGAGACUGUGAAUCGUACCUUGAAAACCACUUAAAUCUCAUCUGUGUCUGUGGAACAACUAUUUUCUGGGAUUUUCUUUGAUCUUCACUCGUUCUUCGUGAUUCGGACCUUCAAGACAACUCUAUAACUACUGGAACAUAUGUGGACUGGAAUCAUUUACCUUGAGACUGUGAAUCGUACCUUGGAAACCACUUAAAUCUUCCUGUGAUCCGUGAGACAACUUUGUAUUGGUCUCACUCUAUUCUUCGUCAUUUUUUAUUCCUCGUUAUUUGGACCUUCAAGACAACUAUAGCAACUGCAACCUAUGUGGACCUUAAGACUGAAUCGUACCUUGAAAACUGUACCUAAAUCCCAUCUGUGAUCUGGGGAACAUCUUUUCAUCGGCCUCACUCUACUCCCUGUGAUUCUCUGCUCUUCGUGAUCCGGACGUUCAAGACAACUAUAGCCACUGCAACCUAUGUGGACCUUAAGACUGAAUCGUACCUUGAAAACCACUUAAAUCUCAUCUGUGAUCUGGGGAACAUCUUUUUAUCGGCCUCACUCUACUCCCUGUGAUUCUCUGUUCUUCGUGAUCCGGACGUUCAAAGCAACCAACUCUCUGGCUCUUCCAUCUCCCUACCCGGGCUGUGACAUCCGCUCAAACAAGCCAAACGCCAAACACACCUGUCUUACCUGUACGUGGGUGCUCAUUAACCUUCCGUGCCCGUGUCGCAUAUCUUCCUCAAGUGGAUUAAGGACACCUCUGCAUUCUCUUACCUCUGGAAAUUCGCUCAAAUCUGCCACGUGCCAAACACACCUUUCUUACCUGUACAUUGGUGCGUAUUAACCUUUUGCAUCUGUGUCACCUGUCUACCUGAAGUGAUCUUAAGACACCUGUGCAUUCUCUUGCCUCUACGAAUUCGCUCAAAUCAGCCAAACCACUACAUAGGCACAAUAACUUCUAGUAGCUAUGUGUAUGUGUCUACCUGAAGUCUACCUGUGAAUUACCUGACUUCUGGAACCCCUGACACACCUUGGGUCUGGUGCUCUGAACAACACCUGUGCUUCCUCACCUUAGACCACGGGAAUGAUUACGUGUACUUCUGGCGAUAAUGGUAUAUCUGAAAACAUCUGAUAACACGUGUACAUCCAAAAGUUACUCUCUAAAACUACCUGACAUCUCUGGAGAAAACUGAAACCAAUGUGUUGUUGUGACUUGAAGUGCAUUAGAUAGAACCAGAUGCUAGAAAUCUGCACGGAACUGACCACCUGAAUCCAGUCCAAUUUACCUGAAGCGAAGUUUAAAUACGUGUGUCAAAACUAAGUGACUUCAUUUAAAUAAAGAACCGUGAACACAUCUGGAGCUUACCUGUCCAACUGAACCUAGUGACUACCUGUAAAUGAGAGCUACGAAAACACACAUCUAGACUUUACCUGUGCAUUCAUAACCAUCGCUAAUUGAACUAGUGGCUACCCGUAAUCAAGACCCAUUAAGACAGCCUUGUAGAGCUUACCUGCCCACCUGAACCUAGUGACUACCUGUAAUUGAGAGCUACGAACACAUACCUCUAGACUUUACCUGUGCAUUCAUAACCAUCGCUAAUUGAACUGAGUGACUACCUGUAAUCAAGAACCAUUAAGACAGCCUUGUAGAGCUUACCUGCGCAGUGAAAGCCAUUCCUAACUGAACCUAAAGACUACCUGU